AUCAUCCAAUGUACCUGUUGAAACCAUAUUACUAUAAAGAAAUUUCUGCAUUUGUAGGGUCGAAGUGAAGAUCCUUUCUAUUCUGCUCCUUACAGUAAUCAUAUAGAAGGGGAAAUCCAAACACUUGCUCUCUGCUGAAAGGAUUGUUAAUACAAUAGACACAGAAGAAAAUACUGCUGUUGAAGGUAGAGCAUACCUCUGCCAGAAAGGAGGCUAUUGCUUUGAAAGAAGAUCAUCUGGUACAAAGCUUCUGGGAAUGUUUUAAUUGAAAAUAUCUGGGGGUUGGAGGUAAGUGACCAAGCGACUGCAUGGUCCUGAUCUGACCACUGGGGUUAACCCACACACUACUGGACGUGUCUGACAGGAGAAACUUCUAUCCAUCUUCACCAUAUCCAGUACUUGUAAAUUGAAAAGGUUGUAUUACGUCUUUUUUUUUAACUAAAUAAAGGAGAAAUUAUUAGUAGUAUUUCUUUAUAG
rnacentral:lncRNA from 1 species